rnacentral:rRNA from 1 species
UACGUAGGUGGCAAGCGUUAUCCGGAAUUAUUGGGCGUAAAGCGCGCGUAGGCGGUUUCUUAAGUCUGAUGUGAAAGCCCACGGCUCAACCGUGGAGGGUCAUUGGAAACUGGGAAACUUGAGUGCAGAAGAGGAAAGUGGAAUUCCAUGUGUAGCGGUGAAAUGCGCAGAGAUAUGGAGGAACACCAGUGGCGAAGGCGACUUUCUGGUCUGUAACUGACGCUGAUUUGCGAAAGCGUGGGGAUCAAA